rnacentral:rRNA from 1 species
GGGUUGUGAGGUUAAGCGACUAAGCGUACACGGUGGAUGCCCUGGCAGUCAGAGGCGAUGAAGGACGUGCUAAUCUGCGAAAAGCGUCGGUAAGGUGAUAUGAACCGUUAUAACCGGCGAUGUCCGAAUGGGGAAACCCAGUGCAAUUCGUUGCACUAUCGUUAACUGAAUACAUAGGUUAACGAGGCGAACCGGGGGAACUGAAACAUCUAAGUACCCCGAGGAAAAGAAAUCAACCGAGAUUCCCCCAGUAGCGGCGAGCGAACGGGGAGCAGCCCAGAGUCUGAAUCAGCUUGUGUGUUAGUGGAACGGUCUGGAAAGUCCGACGGUACAGGGUGAUAGUCCCGUACACCAAAAUGCACAGGUUGUGAACUCGAAGAGUAGGGCGGGACACGUGGUAUCCUGUCUGAAUAUGGGGGGACCAUCCUCCAAGGCUAAAUACUCCUGACUGACCGAUAGUGAACCAGUACCGUGAGGGAAAGGCGAAAAGAACCCCGGCGAGGGGAGUGAAAAAGAACCUGAAACCGUGUACGUACAAGCAGUGGGAGCACCUUCGGGUGUGACUGCGUACCUUUUGUAUAAUGGGUCAGCGACUUAUAUUCUGUAGCAAGGUUAACCGUAUAGGGGAGCCGCAGGGAAACCGAGUCUUAACUGGGCGUUAAGUUGCAGGGUAUAGACCCGAAACCCGGUGAUCUAGCCAUGGGCAGGUUGAAGGUUGGGUAACACUAACUGGAGGACCGAACCGACUAAUGUUGAAAAAUUAGCGGAUGACUUGUGGCUGGGGGUGAAAGGCCAAUCAAACCGGGAGAUAGCUGGUUCUCCCCGAAAGCUAUUUAGGUAGCGCCUCGUGAAUUCAUCUUCGGGGGUAGAGCACUGUUUCGGCUAGGGGGUCAUCCCGACUUACCAACCCGAUGCAAACUACGAAUACCGAAGAAUGUUAUCACGGGAGACACACGGCGGGUGCUAACGUCCGUCGUGAAGAGGGAAACAACCCAGACCGCCAGCUAAGGUCCCAAAGUCAUGGUUAAGUGGGAAACGAUGUGGGAAGGCACAGACAGCCAGGAUGUUGGCUUAGAAGCAGCCAUCAUUUAAAGAAAGCGUAAUAGCUCACUGGUCGAGUCGGCCUGCGCGGAAGAUGUAACGGGGCUAAACCAUGCACCGAAGCUGCGGCAGCGACACUAUGUGUUGUUGGGUAGGGGAGCGUUCUGUAAGCCUGCGAAGGUGACCUGUGAGGGUUGCUGGAGGUAUCAGAAGUGCGAAUGCUGACAUAAGUAACGAUAAAGCGGGUGAAAAGCCCGCUCGCCGGAAGACCAAGGGUUCCUGUCCAACGUUAAUCGGGGCAGGGUGAGUCGACCCCUAAGGCGAGGCCGAAAGGCGUAGUCGAUGGGAAACAGGUUAAUAUUCCUGUACUUGGUGUUACUGCGAAGGGGGGACGGAGAAGGCUAUGUUAGCCGGGCGACGGUUGUCCCGGUUUAAGCAUGUAGGCUGGUUGUCCAGGCAAAUCCGGAUAAUCAAGGCUGAGGUGUGAUGACGAGGCACUACGGUGCUGAAGUAACAAAUGCCCUGCUUCCAGGAAAAGCCUCUAAGCAUCAGGUAACAUCAAAUCGUACCCCAAACCGACACAGGUGGUCAGGUAGAGAAUACCAAGGCGCUUGAGAGAACUCGGGUGAAGGAACUAGGCAAAAUGGUGCCGUAACUUCGGGAGAAGGCACGCUGGUGUGUAGGUGAAGUCCCUGCGGAUGGAGCUGAGACCAGUCGAAGAUACCAGCUGGCUGCAACUGUUUAUUAAAAACACAGCACUGUGCAAACACGAAAGUGGACGUAUACGGUGUGACGCCUGCCCGGUGCCGGAAGGUUAAUUGAUGGGGUUAUCCGUAAGGAGAAGCUCUUGAUCGAAGCCCCGGUAAACGGCGGCCGUAACUAUAACGGUCCUAAGGUAGCGAAAUUCCUUGUCGGGUAAGUUCCGACCUGCACGAAUGGCGUAAUGAUGGCCAGGCUGUCUCCACCCGAGACUCAGUGAAAUUGAACUCGCUGUGAAGAUGCAGUGUACCCGCGGCAAGACGGAAAGACCCCGUGAACCUUUACUAUAGCUUGACACUGAACAUUGAGCCUUGAUGUGUAGGAUAGGUGGGAGGCUUUGAAGCGUGGACGCCAGUCUGCGUGGAGCCAACCUUGAAAUACCACCCUUUAAUGUUUGAUGUUCUAACGUUGGCCCCUGACCGGGGUUGCGGACAGUGUCUGGUGGGUAGUUUGACUGGGGCGGUCUCCUCCCAAAGCGUAACGGAGGAGCACGAAGGUUAGCUAAUCCUGGUCGGACAUCAGGAGGUUAGUGCAAUGGCAUAAGCUAGCUUGACUGCGAGCGUGACGGCGCGAGCAGGUGCGAAAGCAGGUCAUAGUGAUCCGGUGGUUCUGAAUGGAAGGGCCAUCGCUCAACGGAUAAAAGGUACUCCGGGGAUAACAGGCUGAUACCGCCCAAGAGUUCAUAUCGACGGCGGUGUUUGGCACCUCGAUGUCGGCUCAUCACAUCCUGGGGCUGAAGUAGGUCCCAAGGGUAUGGCUGUUCGCCAUUUAAAGUGGUACGCGAGCUGGGUUUAGAACGUCGUGAGACAGUUCGGUCCCUAUCUGCCGUGGGCGCUGGAGAAUUGAGGGGGGCUGCUCCUAGUACGAGAGGACCGGAGUGGACGCAUCACUGGUGUUCGGGUUGUCAUGCCAAUGGCACUGCCCGGUAGCUAAAUGCGGAAGAGAUAAGUGCUGAAAGCAUCUAAGCACGAAACUUGCCCCGAGAUGAGUUCUCCCUGAGACUUUAAGUCUCCUGAAGGAACGUUGAAGACGACGACGUUGAUAGGCCGGGUGUGUAAGCGCAGCGAUGCGUUGAGCUAACCGGUACUAAUGAACCGUGAGGCUUAACCUUACAACGCCGAAG